UAGGGACGCUACCAAGGCGACGAUCCCUAGCUGGUCUGAGAGGAUGACCAGCCACACUGGAACUGAGACACGGUCCAGACUCCUACGGGAGGCAGCAUG
rnacentral:rRNA from 1 species